UACGGAGGGGGCUAGCGUUGUUCGGAAUCACUGGGCGUAAAGCGCACGUAGGCGGAUUGUUAAGUCAGGGGUGAAAUCCUGGAGCUCAACUCCAGAACUGCCUUUGAUACUGGCGAUCUCGAGUCCGGGAGAGGUGAGUGGAACUGCGAGUGUAGAGGUGAAAUUCGUAGAUAUUCGCAAGAACACCAGUGGCGAAGGCGGCUCACUGGCCCGGUACUGACGCUGAGGUGCGAAAGCGUGGGAGGCAACAGGG
rnacentral:rRNA from 1 species